UCCGGUUUGUCACCGGCAGUCUCCUUAGAGUGCUCUUGCGUAGCAACUAAGGACAAGGGUUGCGCUCGUUGCGGGACUUAACCCAACAUCUCACGACACGAGCUGACGACAGCCAUGCAGCACCUGUGUAUCGGUUCUCUUUCGAGCACCCCAGCCUUUCAGCCAGGUUCCGACCAUGUCAAGGGUAGGUAAGGUUUUUCGCGUUGCAUCGAAUUAAUCCACAUCAUCCACCGCUUGUGCGGGUCCCCGUCAAUUCCUUUGAGUUUUAAUCUUGCGACCGUACUCCCCAGGCGGUCAACUUCACGCGUUAGCUACGUUACUAAGUCAAUGAAGACCCAACAACUAGUUGACAUCGUUUAGGGCGUGGACUAC
rnacentral:misc_RNA from 1 species